GAGAAAUGAUGAGAAGGGAGGAUGGGAGGGAGGAGUAACAAAUGUGAAAACAAAAACUUGAAAGUGAAAAGAAUUUCAAAUAUAUUUCAAUUUUUAAUUUUUGUUUUCACUUUUGUUACUCCUCCCCCCAUCUUCGGAUCUUCCCAUCUCAUCUUCCUUCU
rnacentral:snoRNA from 1 species